CUUGAAGCGGUGAGGAUCCAAAUCAUGCAUAGUUCAUCCGAACAAUCAUGUGGAAACAAAAUCAAAUUGUCUUUCGCUCCUAUCUGAGCUUCUAA
rnacentral:snoRNA from 1 species